rnacentral:rRNA from 1 species
UACGAAGGGGGCUAGCGUUGCUCGGAAUUACUGGGCGUAAAGGGCGCGUAGGCGGCCCUGUUUGUCGGGCGUGAAAUCCCGGGGCUCAACCCCGGGGCUGCGCCCGAGACGGCGGGGCUGGAGGCCAGGAGAGGCUCGCGGAAUUCCCAGUGUAGAGGUGAAAUUCGUAGAUAUUCGCAAGAACACCAGUGGCGAAGGCGGCUCACUGGCCCGAUACUGACGCUGAGGCACGAAAGCGUGGGGAGCAAACAGG